rnacentral:rRNA from 1 species
UUUUAUGGAGAGUUUGAUCCUGGCUCAGGAUGAACGCUGGCGGCGUGCCUAAUACAUGCAAGUCGAGCGAACGGACGAGAAGCUUGCUUCUCUGAUGUUAGCGGCGGACGGGUGAGUAACACGUGGAUAACCUACCUAUAAGACUGGGAUAACUUCGGGAAACCGGAGCUAAUACCGGAUAAUAUUUUGAACCGCAUGGUUCAAAAGUGAAAGACGGUCUUGCUGUCACUUAUAGAUGGAUCCGCGCUGCAUUAGCUAGUUGGUAAGGUAACGGCUUACCAAGGCAACGAUGCAUAGCCGACCUGAGAGGGUGAUCGGCCACACUGGAACUGAGACACGGUCCAGACUCCUACGGGAGGCAGCAGUAGGGAAUCUUCCGCAAUGGGCGAAAGCCUGACGGAGCAACGCCGCGUGAGUGAUGAAGGUCUUCGGAUCGUAAAACUCUGUUAUUAGGGAAGAACAUAUGUGUAAGUAACUGUGCACAUCUUGACGGUACCUAAUCAGAAAGCCACGGCUAACUACGUGCCAGCAGCCGCGGUAAUACGUAGGUGGCAAGCGUUAUCCGGAAUUAUUGGGCGUAAAGCGCGCGUAGGCGGUUUUUAAGUCUGAUGUGAAAGCCCACGGCUCAACCGUGGAGGGUCAUUGGAAACUGGAAAACUUGAGUGCAGAAGAGGAAAGUGGAAUUCCAUGUGUAGCGGUGAAAUGCGCAGAGAUAUGGAGGAACACCAGUGGCGAAGGCGACUUUCUGGUCUGUAACUGACGCUGAUGUGCGAAAGCGUGGGGAUCAAACAGGAUUAGAUACCCUGGUAGUCCACGCCGUAAACGAUGAGUGCUAAGUGUUAGGGGGUUUCCGCCCCUUAGUGCUGCAGCUAACGCAUUAAGCACUCCGCCUGGGGAGUACGACCGCAAGGUUGAAACUCAAAGGAAUUGACGGGGACCCGCACAAGCGGUGGAGCAUGUGGUUUAAUUCGAAGCAACGCGAAGAACCUUACCAAAUCUUGACAUCCUUUGACAACUCUAGAGAUAGAGCCUUCCCCUUCGGGGGACAAAGUGACAGGUGGUGCAUGGUUGUCGUCAGCUCGUGUCGUGAGAUGUUGGGUUAAGUCCCGCAACGAGCGCAACCCUUAAGCUUAGUUGCCAUCAUUAAGUUGGGCACUCUAAGUUGACUGCCGGUGACAAACCGGAGGAAGGUGGGGAUGACGUCAAAUCAUCAUGCCCCUUAUGAUUUGGGCUACACACGUGCUACAAUGGACAAUACAAAGGGCAGCGAAACCGCGAGGUCAAGCAAAUCCCAUAAAGUUGUUCUCAGUUCGGAUUGUAGUCUGCAACUCGACUACAUGAAGCUGGAAUCGCUAGUAAUCGUAGAUCAGCAUGCUACGGUGAAUACGUUCCCGGGUCUUGUACACACCGCCCGUCACACCACGAGAGUUUGUAACACCCGAAGCCGGUGGAGUAACCUUUUAGGAGCUAGCCGUCGAAGGUGGGACAAAUGAUUGGGGUGAAGUCGUAACAAGGUAGCCGUAUCGGAAGGUGCGGCUGGAUCACCUCCUUUCUAA